rnacentral:rRNA from 1 species
CAGCCGCCGCGGGAAUACGUAGGUGGCAAGCGCUGUCCGGAAUUAUUGGGCGUAAAGGGCUCGCAGGCGGUUUCUUAAGUCUGAUGUGAAAGCCCCCGGCUCAACCGGGGAGGGUCAUUGGAAACUGGGAAACUUGAGUGCAGAAGAGGAGAGUGGAGUUCCACGUGUAGCGGUGAAAUGCGUAGAGAUGUGGAGGAACACCAGUGGCGAAGGCGACUCUCUGGUCUGUAACUGACGCUGAGGAGCGAAAGCGUGGGGAGCGAACAGGAUUAGAUACCCCGGUGGUCCCUGUCUCUUAUAC